ACGAGUGUGUUCCAAAAUAUUGUAGCUCAGCAAAUGCCUACAACUGCUAGACUUCAAGGUGAAAUAGAGCAAUACUUGAAUGAUGGUUUAGUGCCUUACACUAAAAAGUUUAAUGUGUUGGAUUGGUGGAAGGUGGCUGGAACAAGGUAUCCAACCUUAAGGAAAGUUGCAAGAAACAUAUUUACUAUUUCUAUUACAACUGUUGCUUCUGAAUUAGCCUUUAGUACAAGUGGUAGAAAGCUCAAUGAGCAUAGAAGCCGAUUGACAUAUGAUAUGGUCGUGGUUUUAAUGUGCUCACAAGAUUGGCUUAGAAACAAGUACAAAGAUGCUUACACAGGAGAAGCU
rnacentral:rRNA from 1 species